GCGCAGAUUCGGUUCAUCGCUGCCUCGCAAGAGAGGGGGAGGAAAGUCCGAGCAACACAGAGCACCGUACAAGUUAACGGCUUGAUGUCCGAGAGGGUAUAGUAGCGUAACAGAGAAUAACCGCCGCAGAUUUUGGUCUGUGGUAAGGGUGAAAAGGCGGGGUAAGAGCCCACCGCAAGGGCAGCGAUGUCACUUGGCAGUACGCCUUACGGGUUGCAAGGUUAUGUAUAUCGACAAUUAAGGGUUGCUCGCCCAAUGUCGAGGGGUAAACCGCUGGAGGUGGCAGGCGACUGCCAUCGUAGAUAAAUGAUGAACUAAAACAGAACUCGGCUUAUGGAAUCUGCAAACUU
rnacentral:RNase_P_RNA from 1 species